rnacentral:misc_RNA from 1 species
CUCAGAAAUUACUUGUUCCACACUUCUUCCUGUUGUCGUCAGUGCAUCAAAAGAUAGGGUACCCAAUAUCAAAUUCAAUGUGGCUAAGGUGUUGCAGUCACUUAUUCCCAUAGUUGAUCAGUCGGUGGUGGAGAAGACAAUUCGUCCAUGUUUGGUUGAGAUGAGCGAGGAUCCAGAUGUUGAUGUCAGAUUCUUUGCUACUCAAGCACUACAGUCGAGUGAUCAGGUCAUGAUGUCUACCUAGUACCUAGAUUGACUGUUGUAAUUAGGAAUUCUUCUCCCUUUCCAAUUCAAGUUCAGUUAUCAUCUUACUGAUAUAUGUAAUACCUAAGGUGUCUUCCUUUGAGACAAAUCUUUUUCCCUUGGACACUUGGGUCUAUUUUUUAGAGUCGUGAAACACAUCACUGGUUAUAGCUUCUGCCAUGUGUUGCUAAUGCCAUUUCUGGUUGUACUAAAAAAAAUAGACCC